CACGUGUAACAUAGUUAAAAUGGUUCAGGUUAAAUCCUGCUAAAAUGCACCAUCUGCUGGUAAAACGGGGUAUUGCAUUCACCCUAGAAAGAGCGGGGUAUUAUGGGUAAUCCUCAGAGCCAUGAGGAUCACUGUCGAGGAGUUUCUUUCAUGCCAGAGACUGACUUUACCUCGGUGCCCAUGUGUGAAAUGCAGGUAUG